rnacentral:lncRNA from 1 species
GUUUUACAAUUGCUAAAAUUAGUCUCAAGUAAUAAAUAAACUUUGGCUCGAAUUAAAACUGCUGAGGAGAAAAUAUCAAGAGAAGAAUAAUGCUUAGUUAUUGACGCCUUAAUCCACUAAGCACAAGUCCUUUGCAACCUGAAAUUAAGCUAAGAAAUGAAAUUAGCAGCAAGGCUGAAAAAUCACUUACGAAGUGACUUCCUAUCCCUAGUAAAUUCUUCAAUUAGAGAACGUCCAUGAUUGAAAUUUACCUUUUGUGUUGACUUGUUAAAGAUUUUUUAGAGAUUUAGAGACUUCGCCUAGCCUUAACCAAAGAAAAUCCACCAGCGGCUUCUAAGAUUAAAUCUGAAGUUGUCUUAAUUUGCUACGGCCAAUUAAUUAUCACUAAUUCUAAGCUUAAUUGAGAAAUUCGAUUCCUCAAUUUGCACUUAAAUUAUUAUAAGAAAAAUUCCCAAUUUAAUUAGGUGAUCACUACAAUUGAAUUGGAAGAAAAAAAUUCUUUGGAAGAUAAAAUCAGACAAUUCAAGAAUGCCAAUUUGAUUUUAGAACAAAAUAAAUUUUCAAUUCACUUGUGCUCGGUUUCAUAAGUGUCUAACUAAGCGUAAAUAAACUAGCCACUCAUAGCUAGUAAAACAGAACACAAAUCCAUUGAAAAAAACAUGAAUUACAAACUGAUUCUUGGAAGGCUAAGCUCUUCAAGUCGUCCAAUUUCCCUUCUCCCAAUUAGCCGAAUUUACUAGCUGCUACUCUAGCUCCUUGAUCGGAUUUACUGGUCCAAUUUUAGAAAAUUCUGCUUGCUUGAAUCACGCCUUUCCUAUGCUACUGUAUGUUUUUCUCUGUUUCUUCUCUCCUUUCCAGCUGCUGAUCUUCUCUAUUUAUGGGAUAAUAUCCUCCAAUCAAUUCAAAAAUUAAAAUCAAUCUUAUCCCCCGUUUCCUAGCUGAACCCGUCGCAUGAAAAUAGCUUCAGCUUAGUAGAGUUUUAAUUUAACUCUUCAAAGCUGAUUUGGCUUCUUUAAUUAGAUUAUAGUCGGCCACCGCUUAGCAAGAAGGAAAUAAUAAUUCCCCUGCUAAUUUUGUCGCAUGUUUGGCUUCUAAUUGGACUGACUGCUCCUCCAUUGUUAAUUUAAUUCCGUCAACCAGCAUAUGACCAUCAUUCAGCAGCUUAUUUAUGCGGAUUAACUUCCAAAUUGAAUUUAUACGGGCAACAACCUGCACAUGAAAUAAAUUUAAAUUAAAUUGUUGAAUUGGAGUGCAAGUAAAUUAUUACGGCAUAAAAUGUCUCUAAUCAAUUUAGGCUGAAUUAUAACUUAAUUAACCAAAUAUUAAUCAACAAUUUAAAUAAUUUAAUUGAAUAAGUUAAGCUCAAAAUUGAACUUAACAAGAGCCUCAGGCACCAUCGACACCUAGGCGCUCGGAUGUCGGGGAGCCUGGGACACCAUCGGCAAACUAGGCCCUUGGUCGUACGGGAGCCUCGGGCACCAUCGGUACCUCGGUGCUUGGAUGUGCAGGUGCCUCGGGCACCAUCGAUAAAAUAGGCCAUUGGUUGUGCAAGAGCCUCGGCCACCAUCGGGACCUAGGUGCUUGGAUGUGCGAGAGCCUCGGACACCAUCGACAAACGAAGCCUUUGGUUGUGCGGGAGCCUCGGGCACCAUCGGUAACCUAGGCCCUUGGUCGUGCGAGAGCCUCAGGCACCAUCGGCAUCUGGGCGCUCGGAUCUGCGGGAGCGUCGGACACCAUCGGGAAACUAGGUCCUUGGUCGUGUGGGAGCCUCGAGCACCAUCGGAACCUCAGUGCUAUGAUGUGUGGGAGCCUCAGACAAUGUCGGCAUCCUAGGCCCUUGGUCGAGCGGGAGCCUUGAGCACCAUCAACACCUUGGUGCUUGGAUUUGCGAGAACCUCGGACACCAUCAAAAACCUAGGCCGUUGGUUGUGUGAGAGCCUCAGGUACCAUCGGCAAACUAGGCCUUUGGUCGUGCAGGAGUCUCGGGCACAUUCGGCACCUUGGUGCUUGGAUGUGCGGAAGCCUUGGGCACCAUCGACAAAACAGGCACUUCGUCGUGUGAGAGCCUCGGCCACCAUCGAAACCUAAGUGCUUGGAUGUCCGGGAGCCUCGGACACCAUCGGCAAACUAGGCCCUUCGUCGUGUGAGAGCCUCGGGCACCAUCGACUACCUAGGCUCUUGGUCGUGCGAGAGUCUUGGGCACCAUCGGCACCUGGGCGCUCAGAUGUACGGGAGCAUCAGACACCAUCGGCAAACUAGGCCCUUGUUCAUGCGGGAGCCUCGGGCACCAUCAGCACCUCGGUGCUAUGAUGUGCAAGAGCAUCGAACAAUGUCACAAUCCUCGGCCCUUGGUCGUGCUGAAGCCUCGAGCACCAUCGACACCUUGGUGCUUGGAUGUGCGGGAACCUCGGACACAAUCAGAAACCUAGGUGAUUGGAUGUGCGGAAGCCUCGGGCACUACCGGCAAACUAGGCCCUUGGUCAUGCGGGAGCCACGGGCACCAUCGGCAGAAUAGGCCUUUGGUCGUACGAGAACCUCGGCCACCAUUGGGACCUUGGUGCUUGGAUGUACGGGAGCCUCAGACACCAUCAACAAACUAUGCCCUUGGUUGUGCAGGAGCCUCGGGCACUAUCGGUAACCUAGGCCCUUGGUCGUGCGAGAGCCUCGGGCACCAUCGGCACCUGGGUACUUAGAUGUGUGGGAGCGUCGGACACCAUCAGAAAACUAGGCCCUUGGUCGUGUGGGAGCCUCGGGCACCAUCGGCACCUCAGUGCUAUGAUGUGCGGGAGCCUCGAACAAUGUCGGCAUCCUAGGCCUUUGGUCGUAUGGGAGCCUCGAGCACCAUCGACAACUUGGUGCUUGGAUGUGAGGGAACCUCGGACACCAUCGACAACCUAGGCCCUUGGUCUUACGAGGGCCUUGGGCACCAUCGGCAAACUAUGCCCUUGGUCAUGCGAGAGCCUCGGGCACCAUCAGCACCUCGGUACUUGGAUGUGCGGGAGCCUCGAGCACCAUCGGCAAAAUAGGCCUUUGGUUGUGCGAGAGCCUCGGCCACCAUCAGGACCUAGGUGCUCGGAUGUGCGAGAGGCUCGGACACCAUCAGCAAACUAGGCCCUUGGUCGUGCGGGAGCCUCGGGCACCAUCGGCAACCGAGGCCCUUGGUCGUGCGAAGGCUUCGGGCACCAUCGACACCUGGGUGCUCAGAUGUGCGGGAGUGUCGGACACUAUCGGCAAACUAGGCCCUUGGUCGUACGGGAACCUCAGGCACCAUCGGUACCUCGGUGCUAUGAUGUGCGGGAGCCUCAGACAAUGUCGGCAUCCUAGGCCCUUGGUCGUGUGGGAGCCUCGAGUACCAUCGACACCGUGGUGCUUGGAUGUGCAGGAACCUCGGACACCAUCGGCAACCUAGGCCCUUAGUCGUGCGAGAGCCUCGGACACCAUCGGUACCUAGGUACUCGGAUGUGCGGGAGCCUCGGACACCAUCAGCAAACUAAGGUCGGGGUAUUGAUUUUCCUGCUGGCCAAGACAAUGCCCAUAGAAAUGUAGCUAACGACUCCAGGACCAAGUUCCCUAUAUCGGGCAUCCAUCACGUUUAGGGACGCCUUGUGCAUCCCAAGUCGGUGACAACACGGUAACGGCAUCGGGGGGUGUAAGUGGAGAUUGUAGGCUCGGUCUUGGCUCGACCAAGUCCCAGUGGGAUUCUACCCCUCGUUGUUCUCGUGCCAAGCGAUUGUGGUGCACCCUCGUUCGUUGUUCCUCCUGCUCCCCUACCAUUCGAUUGGUUGGGUGGGUUGUUGGGCGGUGUGCGCGGGCGCUACUACUAGUACACAAUGGGCAUAUGAGUGGUGUUUUGGUUGUGUGUAUUGGCAGGCUCCAUGCUACUCGCACCGAACUGUCGAGCCGCACUCCUCUUCAUUAACUCCCCUUGUAGUAAUUGAACCCAAGGGGUGGGAUCGGGAUACUGUGUUGCGUACCUAUGCCAGAUGGAAUUAUGGAUGUGUUGCCGUCCUUUCUCCAUCUCGUGCCCUUCGGGGUGCGUAGUGGACCUCAAUCAUUCCUUGUGUCCCUAGUGCGCCCCCUUAAAUUAGAGUGGCCUCGUCGGUGCACUGGUGCUCGAUCGUGCUUUCGGAUGCGGAAAAUAUUUUUGAGAGUAGGGUUCAGGCCCUUAUCUCUCGAUGCCUAUGCAUUUUGUCUCUUGACACAGACGAUGCUCGUGCUCUGUUAUGACCUCCUCGUUGCUCACGCGGCAUGUUGAGGGCAAUGCAGUUCCGACGUCACGGAGGAAUGCUACCUGGUUGAUCCUGCCAGUAGUCAUAUGCUUGUCUUAAAGAAUAAGCCUUGCAUGUGUAAGUAUGAACAAAUUCAGACUGUGAAACUGCGAAUGGCUCAUUAAAUCAGUUAUAGUUUGUUUGAUGGUAUUUGCUACUCGGAUAACCGUACUAAUUCUAGAGCUAAUACGUGCAACAAACCUCGACUUCUGGAAGGGAUGCAUUUAUUAGAUAAAAGGUCGACGCGGGCUUUUCUCGUUGCUCUAAUGAUUCAUGAUAACUCGACGGAUCGCAUGGUCUUUGUGCCGACGACGCAUCAUUCAAAUUUCUGCCCUAUCAACUUUCGAUGGUAGGAUGUGGCCUACUAUGGUGGUGACGACUGACGGAGAAUUAGGGUUUGAUUCCGGAGAGGAAGCCUGAGAAACGGCUACCACAUCCAAGGAAGGCAGCAGGCGCGCAAAUUACCCAAUCUUGACACGGGGAGGUAGUGACAAUAAAUAACAAUACCUGCUCUAUGAGUCUGGUAAUUGGAAUGAUUACAAUCUAAAUCCCUUAACGAGGAUCCAUUGGAGGCAAGUCUGGUGCCAGCAACCGCGGUAAUUCCAGCUCCAAUAGCAUCUAUUUAAGUUGUUGCAGUUAAAAUCUCGUAGUUGGACUUAGGGGUAGGUCAGCCGGUCUGCCUCACAGUGAGCACCGGUCUGCUCGUACCUACUAUCGGUGAUGCGCUCCUGA